AGCGAACGCUGGCGGCAGGCCUAACACAUGCAAGUCGAACGAAGUCUUCGGACUUAGUGGCGGACGGGUGAGUAACACGUGGGAACGUGCCUUUAGGUUCGGAAUAACACGGGGAAACUUGUGCUAAUACCGAAUGUGCCCUUCGGGGGAAAGAUUUAUCGCCUUUAGAGCGGCCCGCGUCUGAUUAGCUAGUUGGUGAGGUAAAGGCUCACCAAGGCGACGAUCAGUAGCUGGUCUGAGAGGAUGAUCAGCCACAUUGGGACUGAGACACGGCCCAAACUCCUACGGGAGGCAGCAGUGGGGAAUCUUGCGCAAUGGGCGAAAGCCUGACGCAGCCAUGCCGCGUGAAUGAUGAAGGUCUUAGGAUUGUAAAAUUCUUUCACCGGGGACGAUAAUGACGGUACCCGGAGAAGAAGCCCCGGCUAACUUCGUGCCAGCCGCCGCAGUAACAC
rnacentral:rRNA from 1 species